rnacentral:lncRNA from 1 species
GACUUUAGAUUUAUUCUUUAAGAUUAAUAUUAAGAGAAAUGUGGCACAAUAUGAAGGCCGUCUCAUAUGGUACUUUAUAGUGUCCGCUCUAUAUGCUUUUUGUUCUACAUAAUUUGUAUAGAAAAAAAUUUCUAAAGUUAUUUAUUGCUGUCGAUUCUGAGAUACUGAUGUGGAUCAUCUUGUGGACUUGUGAGAUACUGGGC